rnacentral:rRNA from 1 species
GACGGAGAAUGCAAGUGUUAUCCGGAAUCACUGGGCGUAAAGCGUCUGUAGGUGGUUUAAAAAGUCUAUUGUUAAAAAUUGAAGCUUAACUUCAAAGAUGCAAUGGAAACUUUUAAACUUGAGUAUGGUAGGGGUAGAGGGAAUUUCCAGUGGAGCGGUGAAAUGCGUAGAUAUUGGAAAAGACCACCAAUGGCGAAAGCACUCUGCUGGGCCGACACUGACACUGAGAGACGAAAGCUAGGGGAGCGAAUGGG